rnacentral:tRNA from 1 species
GUCCAGGGAUGGGAUUCGAACCCACAAUGUUCCGCUUACCGGGCAGAUGCCAUGUCCACUAGGCUACCCUGGA